rnacentral:lncRNA from 1 species
GGAGUACUACCGCAAGCUCGCAGGGCUGGUGGAGGAGAUGCACGCUGCCUAUGGGAAGCCUGUCUUCCUCAUUGGCCACAGCCUCGGCUGUCUACACUUGCUCUAUUUCCUGCUGCGCCAGCCCCAGGCCUGGAAGGACCGCUUUAUUGAUGGCUUCAUCUCUCUUGGGGCUCCCUGGGGUGGCUCCAUCAAGCCCAUGCUGGUCUUGGCCUCAGGGAGUGGCACCAGGGCCCAGCACUGACACAGCUACCACCUACUCCCCACCCCCUGUACCCUGGGAGCUGGUCUGGAGAGAGAAACACAGUCUGGACAAGAGAAACGCUCAUCAGACACCACCAAUAAACAUCAAACAGACACCA